rnacentral:rRNA from 1 species
CACGGGGGGAGCAAGCGUUGUUCGGAAUCACUGGGAGUAAAGGGCGUGUAGGCGGUCAGGUAAGUGGAAUGUGAAAGCCCUCGGCUCACCCGAGGAUCUGCAUUCCAAACUGCCUGGCUUGAGUAUGGGAGAGGAUGAGGGAAUUCCUGGUGUAGCGGUGAAAUGCGUAGAUAUCAGGAGGAACACCGGUGGCGAAGGCGCUCAUCUGGCCCAAUACUGACGCUGAGGCGCGAAAGCUAGGGGAGCAAACGGG